rnacentral:tRNA from 2 species
GCGCGAGUGGCGGAAUUGGCAGACGCGCUGGAUUUAGGUUCCAGUGUCUUCGGACGUAGGGGUUCAAGUCCCCUCUCGCGCAC